CAAGAUAGACAUAUCGUGUACAUUCUUUUUUUUCUUUUUAAAUUCUAAAAUUUAGAUGGAUGGAUAGUUCAACGCCAGAAGCAUUUAUCCGGAAAUUCGUAUAAGGAUUCAUUGGAAACAGUAUUAAUUGAUGGAUGAUUUAGUCAUUACAUUUAGACAUUAAUAUACGUUUUUGAAUUGAUCGAUUAGUUUUUGAAUAACGUUACGCAUUCAACACGAUCGUUUUACGUGUACAUAUUUCACCUACAACAUCGGCAAAUCAACCGACAUAAAAGCACAACCGAGGCAGAAUAAUAUUCCACUAGAAAAUGCACGUUUUGGAACGGUACACACACUGGCUUAUCGUAAAUCUCACUUCAGCAAGAGUACGAGGAAAUCCAGAGGGAUUUAACCAAAAACCAAAUUUGCCAUGCACUUGUCGCACAAACAUCGAAGUGCAUACACCAGGAUAAUACAUUAUUCGCCUACCCUUGGGAAAAUCCCCGACGAUCAAUCGUCGUGCAUCCUUGAAGAGGCCACGCCACGCGAAGACGUUCACUGAAGCACAAUGAAAAGCACGCGACAAGGAAAACGAACCCUCUCUGUUUUCUUUUCUUCCUUUUUCCCUUUUUUCUUUUUCUUUUUUUUUCUUUUUUUCUGCGCACCAAGGAAGCACGUAGGAUAAUAUCUGCGCGCACGAUUCACUUAUUAGUUGAACAGAAUCCAGAGAUAGACUGGUCAGCACGGGAAACUUCGCCACCACGAACUUUUCAUAGAGUCAGGAAGAAGGGAGGACGACACCAAAAGGUGGUGGUAGCAUCUUUGCCACUUCCAGCGACGAGCUACGAAUCGUCGAAGAAGCUAGAGUUGGCCACUCUCGUGGGGGCGGACUAAUUGUCGGACGUUGCGCCUUUGCUCAUCGUCGAGAAGAAUUAAUCACGAACAUACCGAAUUUUACUCGAACUACUUCCUUUUCUUCCGAUCGAACACUUUUUAAUGAUGUUAUCGAAUCGUAGUCGCGGAAGAAUUACAUAGUUUCCCUCUCGGAACCGGAAAUUGAUACACUACUCGGGUUUCGUGUUCUGUGAUUCUCGUACAAAGUUCUGGAAUUCUGCGUGUAACUUUGGAAGUGAUUCAAUAGAUGUGAUCCAAAUAAAUAGAAAAUUAAACUACGCCUCUUUUAGGGCCAUGCUCACAACAGUGUGAUGUAAAUGAGAAGGAGUAUUAAUAGGGAGAAAAAGAUAUGAUCGAUGAGGGAUACGCAGGAGUUAUAAUAUAAUAGGGAAAAUGAAGAGUUACCUAGAAGCAAAAGAAUUAAUAUAAAGCGCGGAGGAGUUGAAGGUAUUAAAUAUCCAAGAAAGGGAAAAAC